GUAGGGACUGCUGCCCAGAGCUCAGGGGCUGAUUAGACCACAGGGCUGUCACUGCCGCUCCGUAGCCCGAGAAUGUCCAGGAAUGAGAGGAAAUGACCGGAGCAGCACAGAUCUGAAGAGGUUAGAGAGUGAGCCAUGAGUGCUGCUGAGGGAAGAGUGUUUCCAGCCACGGGAACAGAGGCUGCAGUGGGUGCUCAGAUUCGUGAAUGGGGAAGGUGGGCGUUUGCAGCUUUUGGCGGAGAACGAGGGAUGUUAUGCAACCUGUCCUCUGAAUUUCCGCAGCACCACCCCCUCACUGGGGUUCGGGAGGAAGAAAUGGGAGGAUGUGGUUUCUGACUUCUCUGGGUCUCAGUUUUCCCAUCUGUCAAGUGGGGACCCCCACAAGCGCAUGUCAAGUGUCCGGUGGCCAACAUGGUGCACAGCACAGACCACCGUCAGCGUUUCCAUCAUCUCAGAAAGCUCGAGUGGACUGGACUGGUUCAUCUCUAACUCCACUCGGUUGGAAUGAGAAGCCAGGAGCAGUUGAUGAGAUCUCCAGCUCACGCUGACCGUUGGACCCGGAGCCCAGGAAAGAGGAGGAGCCAGGGCUCCAGCUGCAUCGGUGGACCCCUAGCCACUCAGUGGGAAUCGGGGCUGAGUGCGGCGUCUUUGGGAGCAGCACCCUCCCGGGCGGGCAGACAGUACGGAGGGACGCCACAUCUUGCAAAGGUUCUCUGUUGCCCAGCGCUGUGGUGCUGCAGCUUCUGCUUCUGUGGUGCCCGCAGGGUCCCACUCAUCCUGCAUCUUUGCAGUUUUGCAGACGGUAACCCUAUAGCCUUGCUACCCAACACCUCAGACUUCACCCCUCCAGCCACAUGUCCUGGUGCCUGGGUUUGUUUGGGGGAAAUACCUUCCAGGCUACGGGAGGGAAGGGUGGGGAGGGGGGCCUGCUUCACUGCUGAUGCCCCUCUCUCCCCUGCACCCCAUAGACAUGCACAGAGAUGUCUGAGGCCAGGUGGCUGAGUGUGGGGUGUGCAGGACGACUUUGGUGGUAUGGGUGGACAGUGCCGUGCUCCUGAAGGCCGGCCCGUAGAGGGUUGAACAGGACCCUCCAGGAACAUAUGUCCUCCUGGAACCACAGAAUGUGACCUGAUAUGGAAAUAGGGUUUUUGCAAGUGUCCUCCCUUAAAGAUCUUGUAGUGAGACCCUCUAGAUUUGGGAAGACUUUUGACCCAGUGAGAUGUCCUUACAAGGAGGGAGGUGGAGAGACACGCUGAUGAGAAGUUGGCAGGGAGAUGGAGGGAGCCUGGAGCCACCGGGAGCUGGAGAAGGAAGGGAUCUCCCCUGAGCCUCCAGAGGGACACAGCCCCCGACACCUGCUCUCAGAGUGAGAGUGCGUUCCUACUGUUCAGAGCACCCUGGUUUGAGGCACACGGUCACGUCAGUCCCAGGACCCUUGCACAGAACCCCAUGAUCAGUCAACAUUACCUGGACAAGGAUGGCUUGUCACACUUCCUGAGGCCCAACAUUUGGACGACAAAGGAAGAAUGGACCUAGGAGGCUGUGGGGUCUCUCUCCAGGCACCCCCUACCACUUGCCAGUGGUGGAUGGAGGGCAGAGGACAGGGUGCAGGGUGCGUGUGCUCUGCAGGCCUUUCAUUCAGUCUUUGCUACAACUCUGUGGGCACCCCCGCACUCUGAUGAGGACAUUGAGGCCCAGAGAGGCUCCCCAAGGCUUCACAGCUUGUAGGAGGCAAAAUCGGGGAAGCCUCCGGAAGCCCAGCAGCAGAUGGUGGGUUGGGACCAGCGCACGUUGGCAGGCCAGCCUCUCUUGUUGGGGAUUGUGGCCAUCUUUCCAAGACUUCGGGGUGCCUGCUUCUGCUUCCGUGGGGUCCAGUGGAGCUGAGGAAGCAGGAAGGCAGGUGCUGACCAUCUGCUGUCCAGGGAUGCUGUCUAGGUGAGGCCAUUUGGGGGCUGCCCCAGAUCUGUGGAGUGAGACCCCAGGGCAUCUGUGUGCACACGGCAGUUGAAGAAACCCUGGACGUGGGCUGGAUCCCGCGCUCCCAGAAACCAGGCCAACCGGGAGGGACUGCACACUGUUCUCUACCCAGACCCGUGAGCUGAGAUGUCCCUCCUGGCUGGCACCCGUUCCCAGGAAGUUAACCAUCACUUAUAAGAAAUCAGUCACCCAUGCCCUUCCUCCUAUGCUGCUCACGGUGCAGGGAUGGAAGCUUCUGGAACGGGGGGUCCUGGGACAGCUGAGCUUGGGCAAGGCGAGCAGCAGAGCUCUGGGUGUGCCCUUCCCAGGGCAGUGCUGGUCCUCCCUGCAUCCCUUCCCAGUUUGGCCUCUGGGAUGUGGUGGCUCUCGGGCUGGGGUCGCAGAGGGGACCCGUUGGACGCAGAUUCCCCUGCUUUGUCAGGGGCCUCACAGAAUUCGGGCCGAAUGGUCCCAUGAUUUGAUGUGUUUUGUCACCACCCCCCUUCUGUGACACCGAGGACUGUGUGAUACCAAGGACUGUGUGAUACCCCCGGUUUCUAGGAGAUUGAGGGCGUCUGGUGGGCUCGGGGCCUGCAGUGGACUCAGAGUGUGCGGUACUCAGAGGCCCAGGGCCCGGGUGGUGGAGAAGGAUCCUCCGAGCCUUUGUGGGCCUUGGCUCCCUCUGCUAGGGAUGGGGGCCCGCAGCGACGGACGGCCCAGCCGCCUUGCAGGGGUGUCAGGUCUGAAUGGAGAGGAGCCAGAGGUGGCGGGAGUGGCUGAUGGACACACCUGCCCUGGAUGCAGGCACUGCUCUGUGCAGCAAACACGCCCUCUGCUUCCUGUCUGCCCGCACGGCCCUCGGGCAUGUGCUGCCCAAAAGGGAUGCCCACGGUGUCUCCGGACACUUCCACAAUCUUGCUGUCAAAGGGCAGAUGUCUUCAGGCCUUGCUGCUGUGCUUUAAAAAUAUGUCCUUAGUUACAAAGGAAAGGAAAGACAGGAAAGGCCUCUUAAGAAUGGAAGGGAAGCGUGUAUAACACGGGGUCACCAUGCUGGCCACCUGAGCUGGUGUGGUCUAACCUCCUCAGGUGGGAGUACAGGCUUUUUGUGAUCUGACCUGUGUCUUUCUCAGCAGCCUGCUGUCGCCUGAGCUGCAUUGGGCUUAUUAUUAGUUAUAUAUUUUUGAACAGUUGGGUACCUUGUCUUUGCUCGUGCUGUUGCCUUUGCCUGGAGUUCUCUUUCUUUUGUGUUUGACAGACCCCUUCUCAUCCUCCGAGAUGGAUUUACAGAAAGCUAAAGAAUGUCAGCCUUAGGGCCUCUCCUGCACAGCACCUGCCAAGCCCCUCUAUCCCUGGAAAGGGGCCCUAGCAAUGUGUUUGUAUGACAAUGAAUUUUUAAGAAUUUUGCUAAAGUAAGAUGCUUUGCUUGUGCUUGGCUAAACCCACUGGCUCUUCCCGCUCUGAUGCCCUGGCCUUGCACUCCAGCGUCAUGACAGCAGGGGCAGCGGGGAUGUUCCUGGAGGUACCCCCGCCCCACAGAGCCAGCUCCCAGAGCCUUACCCAUACCACACUGACCAUGUACCUCGCUGGCACGUCUGCAGGUGCCCCAGCUCACGUCCACCGUGACCUGAGCCCCAGAUGCAUGCUCCAAGCCUUGCCAUGUGGUUUCAUGGUGUUUUACGGAAUGUAAACAUCUAUUUUGAGAUGGAAGAGGAACUCAAACACUGGUGCAAGAUCCGAAAGUUUAUUUAAAAAGUUAAUAAAGCUCAAGGACACCGUUUUAGCUGCAACUUGGAGAGACGUGUUAGAAUGUUUCCACAAACAAAUGAUAAAUCACAGACUACUGAUCCAGACAGGUACUAAGGUGUUCUGCUGCUGCUGCCGCCUUUCAGUUUAUUAAUUAAAGAACUGAGAGGGCAUUCAAAUAAAAAUAAAUGGAAUAUGGAACAAAAGCUUUAAAGAUGGGGAGCAAAGGAACAGAACCUAAUCUGCAAAGGGGGGAUGAUUUAUACAAUUCAUUAAGAUAAUGAGUUGGUUCUGGGAUGGUUCGAUCAUCCAGCUAAUGAGGAGGAGCAAUUCUGUGAACCCGUUUGGAAAAGAUUCAAAUUUCCUGUUAAUUUGGAAUAAAUACAGAUACUGACAAACACUGUGUCGAAUCUGCAGUGUGCUGCCGCCCAAACACAUCGGUGACAAUGUGGCUAAUAUGUGCUUGCAGUUUAAGAAGCAUCGAAGACAAAUCCUUGCAAAACACACGUUGAAAUGACAUGAAAUCUUACAGUUCACAUAGGAAAGAUCCUUGACAGAAGCUUUCCCAAAUCAAUAGCAAUUGUAAACAUUUACUUGUCUUUAGAAAUAAUGGGAUGUGACGUGAUCACAACAAUGAUUCCUUCUUCUGAUCCUUCGUGCUGGAGGAAAGACUGAUUUAUAUUUAUAUUCUCUCUUCCAAAAAAAAAAAAUUACAUUGCCCACCAACUCAUUGUUGUAUGCAGAGACCAUCAAAGAUUGGGCAUGCAAAAAUAUAAAAGUAUUUUAGACAUAAGACAGGUGUUCUAUUAAUAGAAAUAUCAUGUUCUUUGUCUGAUUUUUGUG